rnacentral:tRNA from 1 species
GGUGAGAUGGGUGAGUGGCUUAAACCGACAGUUUGCUAAACUGUCGAUCGGGUAACCGGUCCGGGGGUUCGAAUCCCCCUCUCACCG